ACUUAAAUAGCUUAUGUGUAGAGCGUGACGUUGAAGGUGUCAAUGAGGUUAUCUUUACCUUUAAGUA
rnacentral:tRNA from 1 species